rnacentral:rRNA from 4 species
UAAUGGCUCACCAAGGCGACGAUCCCUAGCUGGUCUGAGAGGAUGAUCAGCCACACUGGAACUGAGACACGGUCCAGACUCCUACGGGAGGCAGCAGUGGGGAAUAUUGCACAAUGGGCGCAAGCCUGAUGCAGCCAUGCCGCGUGUGUGAAGAAGGCCUUCGGGUUGUAAAGCACUUUCAGUCGUGAGGAAGGUGGUAGUGUUAAUAGCACUAUCAUUUGACGUUAGCGACAGAAGAAGCACCGGCUAACUCCGUGCCAGCAGCCGCGGUAAUACGGAGGGUGCGAGCGUUAAUCGGAAUUACUGGGCGUAAAGCGCAUGCAGGUGGUUUGUUAAGUCAGAUGUGAAAGCCCGGGGCUCAACCUCGGAAUAGCAUUUGAAACUGGCAGACUAGAGUACUGUAGAGGGGGGUAGAAUUUCAGGUGU